AAGUCGUAACAAGGUUUCCGUAGGUGAACCUGCGGAAGGAUCAUUAAAAAAAGGUGAGGUGCCUAGCGGCGCCUCUAUACCUCCAUCCUGUGUCUAUCUACCUUUGUUGCUUUGGCGGGCCGCGGGAGCUCCUGCUCCCCCACUGGCCUAGGCCGGCGCGAGUCCGCCAGAGUCACCCCAAAAUCCAUUCAACCGUGCCGUCUGAUAAACAAAACAAAUAAGUAAAAA
rnacentral:misc_RNA from 1 species